AGGCGACAGCGGCGCGGAACGCAGAGCGGCGGGAGAGGAGCUUGGGCUCCUGGUCUCCGCUGCCGCCAUGGCUACCGUGGACCUGGAGAAACUGCGGAUGUCGGGGGCUGGCAAGGCCAUUGGAGUGCUGACCAGCGGCGGUGAUGCGCAAGGUGAUGGGACGCGGGGGCGUGUUUAGGGAUGGAUCUGGGGUUUCUGCCUGUCCUCGGAACCCUUCGGGCUUGUCCACUGCCCCUCGCCUAGGGAUCUGGGGUGUACUUGGCCAGCCAAUCUCCUGUGGAGCACCGUGGCUUCAGGUCCCUGUCCCCAAGCUCCGCCCCGGGUAGCUGGCGUACGUGCUGCAGGCCACGGGCCUUGGCACGCCCCGCCCUCGCGCUGCCUAGGUCCGCCCGGUUUGGGGGUGUGUCCGCGCAGCACGCAGACUUAGGGCACCGGGCUAUUCCUUUCUAGGCCACACGUGUCAGGACCUCUAAGAGAAGCACAGCCGGCCAAGUUUCACAGGCCGGAAUUUGAAAGGAUCAGGGACCCUGUACCCUCCCCCGUGCAGCCUGUGAUUCCUACCUUCUCUGUACUGGGAUGGGGUGAGACUGAGGCAGGCUUGCCCACACGCCUUUGCCUGGGCUGCUUCCUGUCCCUUGGAUGGAGACUUAAGUGGAGAACAGAGGGCGUGGAGCGGGGGUAUUUUUUUACCGGUGUAACAGGGCAAGCACCACAGGGCUAAUAGUUGAGGGUGCACAGCCUCUUCUCGGCCUGGUAAGGCUAGGGAAAAGUCUGGGCUUGGGAGGAUCUGCCCUCUUCUCAGCCCCUCUCUUGGUGGCCUGGUUCCAGGCUGACUGCUGAUGUGCGAAGUCUGUGGCUCUAGUUGGGUCCGGCUGAAAAGAAAUACUACCCAGUUGGGGGCUGAGGAAGACACGUGGAGCUUCAAGGGGCUUGGCUUCCCUGAGCACUGCAGUUGAGCUUCGCCAUUUCCUUCCAAACAUUUCAGGAAAUACAGACACACAUGCUCCUAAGCGGGGUUCCUGACUGCCCAGCCCUUACCUAAGAGAUCGGUAGGAACAACACAGGAUAGAUACAUCUUACAAGCAUGAUUGCAAGUCCAGGAAGGCAGGAAAAAAUGUCACUCUGACUCCCAUAAUGCUGGAAAUCUCAAAUCUCUGUUGGGUCCCCUGGGCCUGGUCUAGGCUGGCAGUCAGCAUACCCUUUUUCAGGGCUGUUUCAGCUUGUACAUCCCAGUGCUGUCACUGAGACUGGGCCGGGGACCUGUGGAAGAAUCACCCAUGGUAGUGGACCACAAGAGAGGCCCUGACUAGGCCCACAUCACCCAUUAGAUAGGCAUUUCAGUGAGGCCAGCAGAGUCCUGAGUCCCAUUUGUAGGGCUCCUGCCUCUGGCAGGCAUAGAUAGGCUAUCCACCUCAGGCUCCUGUCUGAGCAAGGGAGGCCCCAGUGUCUGAGGGAUGGUAAUAUUGAGUGGUCUCUGCGCGAGGACUUCUGCUGCCUUCUGUGAGAGGCAGCUGCCAGGCCAGGGCCACCAGGGUGACAGACAUUUGUUUUGGAGGCUGGUGGAGGAACCAGAGACAGGAGGCCCUUCCUGGUCAGGAGAGGGUAGGCAAAACCUGCUUACAUUUCCAUUCUGGCUUCAGGGCAAGAUCUCUACAGGUUUUCCCAGAGUCCUCUUUGGGUAGGGUCAGUAUCAGUGGGCAAGGGGCAGCAGCUGGUAUGGGACAGAGUGGAGCCUUCUGUUGCCUGAAUUCUGGAAGCGCCUGUGGGUGUGUUCCCCAGGCCCUGCUUUCUUCUGUGCCCAGUCAGCUGCUGGGCUCCUCAUGCCUUCUGUGUGCUCACGGAGCCCCAUCUGCAUGCAGUGAACAUGUGAACACCAGUCCUCAUUUGAGAAGGCAACACGGGCCUAGAUCCCAGUCCUGGCCUGGCUGGAGGUAACCAGCUCCUUGGCCUAACCUGUGCGCUGCCUCUGGCCUAUGAAAAGGUUUCUUUUUUCCUUUGAGCCAGGCAGGAAGACCCAUCCUUUUCAGACCCAAGUCUCUCCCUUCCUGUUGGCCAAGAGUCAUGUUAGGGAACUGAGGAGGGCUGCUGUUCACCAAAGUCUGUUUGACUGGAGGACUUUGUUUAAAAAGAACCACAGGU
rnacentral:lncRNA from 1 species